GAUGGACAGCUCUGCAUUAUGCUUGUCAGUAUGGUCAUUUGUCUAUUGUGGAGAAAUUAUUAUUAUCCGGAUGUGAGAAAGAUGUCAAGGACAAUGAUAGAUCAACACCUUUACAUCUUUCCUGCUUAACAAUACUGUUCUGUCAUGAUAGUCAUCUGCCAAUUGUAAAGUUGUUGAUAUCAUCAGGAGCUGAUUUGUUAGCAGUGAACAAGCUAGAGAGGACGAACACCAUUACAAGCUGCAGAGGAAUGGUUGCCAAGAGAUUCUGGUCUAAGUAAAGAAAAUCGUUCUCAUAUUAUUUCUCACCUAAAGGGAUUAGAUGAGA